rnacentral:rRNA from 1 species
AUUGAACGCUGGCGGAAUGCUUUACACAUGCAAGUCGAACGGCAGCACGGACUUCGGUCUGGUGGCGAGUGGCGAACGGGUGAGUAACAUAUCGGAACGUAUCCAAUAAUGGGGGAUAACUAAUCGAAAGGUUGGCUAAUACCGCAUACGCCCUACGGGGGAAAGCAGGGGAUCUUCGGACCUUGCGUUAAUGGAGCGGCUGAUAUCUGAUUAGCUAGUUGGUGAGGUAAAGGCUCACCAAGGCGACGAUCAGUAGCUGGUCUGAGAGGACGACCAGCCACACCGGAACUGAGACACGGUCCAGACUCCUACGGGAGGCAGCAGUGGGGAAUUUUGGACAAUGGGCGCAAGCCUGAUCCAGCCAUUCCGCGUGAGUGAAGAAGGCCUUCGGGUUGUAAAGCUCUUUCGCAAGGGAAGAAAACUUACUUUCUAAUAAAGAGUGAGGUUGACGGUACCUUAAUAAGAAGCACCGGCUAACUACGUGCCAGCCGCCGCAGUAA